UACGAAGGGGGCUAGCGUUGUUCGGAAUUACUGGGCGUAAAGCGCGUGUAGGCGGGUCCUUAAGUCAGGGGUGAAAUGCCAAGGCUCAACCUUGGAACUGCCUUUGAUACUGGGGAUCUUGAGUUCGGAAGAGGUUGGUGGAACAGCUAGUGUAGAGGUGAAAUUCGUAGAUAUUAGCUAGAACACCAGUGGCGAAGGCGGCCAACUGGUCCGAUACUGACGCUGAGGUGCGAAAGCGUGGGGAGCAAACAGG
rnacentral:rRNA from 1 species